AUAAAAAGCCCGCUAAACUAAUCACCAGGCACUGUGGGUCAAAUACAGUCAGCGGUAACGAACCUUCCACCUCUCCUAAAACUUCACUCCCGACACCAUGAUCAAGGAAAGUGCUCUUGUCCUGGCGGUUUUUGGUUGCGCUUAUGUUAGCGGACAGAUGAACCCCAUGGCACUAAUGGCAUUGUCUGGGGGAGCAGGAGGAAGGGGCGGGGCUGGCUCAAUGAUGAUGCGCCUCCUCAACAACCCGUACAGUCUUUGUAAAGAAACAGAGGGAGUUAAAGCCAUUCCUUGCCGUACCGGUAACAUCUGCGAUCUUCUCUCACUAAGACAGUACCGUCUUCCAAAUCUAAUGAAAUGUAGCCCAGCUGGUAUCGGAUGUUGUCUGAAAGAUUACAUGUCUCUGCAAUUAAGCAAAAUGAUGAACUGAGAAUGCAAAGAAUUUCAUCUUUUCCCUAAUCAUACAAAGGAUGCACAAACACCAGGAAAAAGUCCUAUUUUUCUGAUGUGCAAUUUUAGGUCAUUUCAUUAAUCAACAAUUUCAUCCAAAUGGUUCUUUAACAUGUUGUUGUCACUGGCGAAGAGAUCCGGAAUAACAAGAUGUCCACAAGGCCAAAUGUCUCUCCUCUGUUUUUUUGUGAGAAAGUGAU